GACGAACGCUGGCGGCGUGCUUAACACAUGCAAGUCGAGCGGUAAGGCCCUUUCGGGGGUACACGAGCGGCGAACGGGUGAGUAACACGUGGGUGACCUGCCCUCAGCUCUGGGAUAAGCCUGGGAAACCGGGUCUAAUACUGGAUAUGACUCCAUGACGCAUGUUGUGGGGUGGAAAGCCUUGUGCGGCUGAGGAUGGGCCCGCGGCCUAUCAGCUUGUUGGUGGGGUGAGGCCUACCAAGGCGACGACGGGUAGCCGGCCUGAGAGGGCGACCGGCCACACUGGGACUGAGACACGGCCCAGACUCCUACGGGAGGCAGCAGUGGGGAACUCUUGCGCAAGUGGGACGAAAGCCUGACGCAGCGACGCC
rnacentral:rRNA from 1 species